AGUCUAAAAACCGGCGAACUUCCUGUUGUAUCUUGAAAAUGGAAUCACAGAAAAAGAAAUUCAACUUGAAGUCUUGGAUUAAGCUCGGAGUAACGUACUUCAGAAAAUGUGUUACGGAAGAAAAACUUCAAUCAAUGAGAAUUAGAAACACUAUACACCUUACUAAAAGAAUUAAUAUCGAGAGA